UACGAAGGGGGCGAGCGUUGUUCGGAUUUACUGGGCGUAAAGGGCGCGCAGGCGGUUCUGUUUGUCGAGUGUGAAAGCCCCGGGCUCAACCUGGGAACUGCGCUCGAAACGGCGGAACUAGAGUUCGGGAGACGAGAGUGGAAUUCCCAGUGUAGAGGUGAAAUUCGUAGAUAUUGGGAAGAACACCUGUGGCGAAAGCGGCGCACUGGACCAUAACUGACGCUGAUGCGCGAAAGCUAGGGGAGCAAACAGG
rnacentral:rRNA from 1 species